UAACCUUUUCUUCGAUAAUAUACACACAAAACAUUUUAUUGUACACAAAAUACGAAAAACAAUACACUAAUAAAUUACUGGCAAAAAAUGUUCACGUGAUACGUCACAGUGAUCAAAUUGUUCACGUGCGUUCCAAAGUUGCGUAAUCCUUAUAAUAACAAUGAAUAAUAACAAUGAAUCUUUAUAACACUCCCCAACGUUGAGUCACUGUACAAGUGAUCAACAAUAUACUCCCCAAUGUUGACAAUAAUCGAUAAAAUAUGAAUAUAUACAUUACUGUAAUUACGUUAAGUUUUCUUAAGUUUUUCAGAUAUGUUUCAGUUGUUCGGCUCUUUUAAGCUCUCCGAUGACCGCCGCCAUACGACGUGGACGAGUAUUUAACGAUACAGGCGGUUCGCUAAUUGUUGCUUCCGAUUUAUUCUUGACCUCGCUAAGCGGUUGCUUCACUUCGAUUGGAAUCAGGUGACUAUUCGAUCUUCGGAGAAGUUGCGCUUUGUCACUUUUGCCACCUAACAGUUCUAGGCGAGGAAUCGUUUGUCCCUUUAACGGCGCCACCUUCGAUUUUGAAGCUACGAGUCUUACUUCGAUGUUUCCACUUUCGUAUAAAGAUCUCAUAUAAAUAACUGCGGCAUAUGCGAUUUUGGAGGCGUCGCUAAACCCAUGUAGCUGUAUCUUCAUCGGCUUUUCUGUAGAUUUAAAACAACAUCGUUGAAUCCGUA